rnacentral:lncRNA from 10 species
AAACACCCAAGAAUUAUCAAUAAAAAAAUAAAUUAAAAAAAAAAAUAAAUAAAUAAAUCCAGCAAAAAUAAAAAUAAAAAAUAAAAUCCCCUUGAAUACAUUUGAGGUAAUGUUGUAGUUUUCAGCUCCUCCCACGAGAGAUUUUAUGGAGUGCCUAACUGUGCUACCCGGGUGCUGCUCCUGUCGUUAGUGGUGGCACCCAGGAGGAAUUAAAAUUACAAGAGUGUUUCCUUCCAGAUGUUGUUGCUACAGGCUCAAGGUGCUCUUUUAACUGGGACAUCAGGCUUUCUUGAAAUAGACAAGAAUUCUAGAAACAUGACAUUGUGCCUGAUUCAUCGCUUCAACUUGCCACUGACUCAUUCUCUCCUUGAUAGGUUAUUCAACAGUAACUUUAAUUACAUCAUUUACUUAUUGUUUUCUUCCUUGAUUUAUUCUCUUUCUACAAUUCUUGUUUAUCAUCUCAGUGAUUGGACCAUCUCACCUCUGAGACUUGGGUAGAAUUCUGUGGACUCUGGAAAUAGACAUGGAGGUUUUCAUGUAUCUCUGUUAAUGUGUACAAACACCCCCAGGCUUGUACACUUGAAAUACAUCAGUAGGAAGGGUAGUUCUCAAUUUGCUAGUGUUUCACACAGCUUGUCUUAUUUAAUGAUCUCAGCUGCCCUAUGAAGUAGAUACCAUCCUAUUAAAAAAUGCAGGAGCAGAGGCUCUGAGAGGGGACUGUAACUUACCCAAGAUCAUGUGGUAGAUUGCAAAACUGGUUCCAAAUCCCUACCCUUCCCUGUACGCACACCUUUUGCCAUUCAUCUGCAAUGUCCUUUUCUGAUUCUGGGCUCAGCAAUAUAACUUGCUCUGGCCAACAGGAUAACAACAGCAAAUGUGAUGUAAGCAAAAGCUUGAGAAAUACUUGUGCAACUAAUCAUGUUUGCCUUCUCUCUUGUACCUGUGCCAUUGCCAUGAGAACAUGCCUGGGCUAGGAUUAGAGACACUUGGAGCAGAGCUGAGUCAUCCCAGCUGUCCCAGUUGAGGCCAGCCUAGGUCAGUCGAUGGCAACCAAGCCCUAAGCAUGUUAGUGAGCCCAGCCAUGAUCAGCACAACCACCUAGCCAACCAUCCCAGACCUGUGAUCAAUAAAGCCUUACUAUUCCAUACCACCUAGGUUUUGUGAUUAUUUAUUUCACAGAAUUAUUAUGGCAGUAUGUAACUGAUAGAAGCGGUGUACAGGGAAGAGUAUUUGUUAGUCCGUUUUCACACUGCUGAUAAAGACAUAUGCGAGACUGAGCAAUUUACAAAAGAAAGAGGUUUAAUGGACUUACAGUUCCACGUGGCUGGGGAAGCCUCACAAUUGUGGUGAAAGGUGAAAGUCACAUCUCACAUGGCAGCAGACAAGAGAAGAAGAGCUUGUGCAGGGAAACUCCCCUUUUAAAAACCAUCAGAUCUCAUGAUACUUAUUCACUAUCAUCAGAAUAGCCUGGGAAAGACCUGUCCCCAUGAUUCAGUUACUUCCCACCGUGUCACUCCCACAACAAGUGGGAAUUCAAGAUGAGAUUUGGGUAGGGACACAGCAAAACCAUAUUAGAGCAGAUCUCUGGAAUUGGGCAGGCCAAGGUUUGAAUCCCAUCUGUUAUUUGGAGUGUGUGUUUCUUUUUGAGACUAAUCUCCUUACCCUUGAAAUGAGGUAAUAUACUUCCCUCAUAGGGUUGCUGGGAAGAUUAAACACGAGGUGAAGUAAAUAAAGCCCCAGGGACAUAAGCAAAAAAUAAUGGCUUCUCACAGCAAUGCUCCAGAACAUACAACAAGGGAAUACUGGGCCCAGUCCCAGGACUAUCCAAGUGUGAAGCCAACACCUUUUCACAUCAACUCCAAGGUCCUGUUGUGCCCAACUCAUGAUUUAUCCAGGUCACACCAGUCUGGUCUGUCACAGUAAGAGGGCCACCAGGAAACACACCUUCAGGAAGCACCUUUUCUGUUCUAUCCCAAAGGGCACCAUCACAUACACUAUAAUAUGAAUCAUGACCCCCGGAGUUGUGUGGAGUUUCUGCAUCUCUCCCUCCCCACUGUGGCUACCCUCAUCCAGCAACCAUCCUGUCUCUCACCGGUAUUACCGCAGCUGAGACCCAGGUCUUAAGGAAGCUGAGACCCAGGCCAGCAGGGGCCUCACAGCUUGGAAAAAGAGGAGGGUGUAAGACUCUGGAUGAAGCUGAGAGAUCCUUCCAUGCUUGGCUGAGAGACUACACAGACAUGAGCUUCAGGAGACUCCAAAGCCUCGGAUCCCCUUCUAAACUAGCACUGAAUUCUGAUUGGCUGUCUUUGCCUGCCUCAGUUUGUUCCUUUUACUGAUUGGCUAGGUUCUUCUGCCCAUGGCAGAGCCCUGCUCCAGCCACCGGAUCCUCCCACCUGCCACAGUGUCACCUGGGAUUGGCUGGGCUCUGAAAGGCCAGGCUGGCUUGACUCUUGCCAUCAUCAGAUUCUUCCUCAUUAAACAAAUGAAUCACAAUCCUAAUUAAUUUGAGCAACAGAAUUUAUGUAACUACUCCCAGCAGGAUGUCUGCUCUCAGUCAGCAGAGAGAUUACUUCCUCUCUCUGGGAAAUUCCAGCCUUGCUGGUCAAUAAGCCUUAAUGAUGACUGAAAUCUCCCAUCUGUCUCUGCUCAGGGCAGGUAACCCCUACUAAGCAGACACCCAGUUGGCUCGAGGCAGUACCCCGGGCACCGGCAGGACAAGGACAACGAUCUCCCAGCCUAGAUGUGUCCUGAGCCACAUGGAGCACACAGUAGGUGUUUACUUAAGGACAGGGGCUGCCCCUUCCAGGGAAGUUCUGAACCACUUAAAACCCACAGGAAGUGUUCAAUGUCUACUUAUGGAAUAAAUGAAAGGGAGGAUGUGUCACUCAGAUACUUAUAAAAUGGUCUCAAGAUCCUAAACUCCAAGCAAGCUUCUCCAGCUCUUUCCAGCCUUUGCUCCCCCUAUUUCCCAUGACCAUAACCCAAUUCUGUCUUUUUCCUAUUUUGAACUUUCCAGACUCAGAAAUUUGGCUCUUCAUGUUCCCUGCCCUUGAACCGUCCCAGCCCUCUCUCCAAAACAGGCUUCAUGCUGGCUGCAUGGGAGGGAGGGGUAGCAAAGUGGAAAGUGUUACAGAAUUAGUGCUAAUUCUGGCUUUGUCACUUACUCAUUGUACUUCACCUCUCUGUUCUUAACUUUUCUCUCAUACAUAAACCACACGGGGUUCUUGGGAAGAUUAAAUAAGAAAACAUGGUGAAAAUGUAUUGCACAGUACUUGACUCAUUUAAUUGGUGACAGACAGUGUUUUAGGUAAUGGAGAUACAGUGGUGCUCAAGGCAGGCAAGAUUCCUGCUCCCAAAGAAUUUAAUUUCCAGGAGACAAGAAGCAAGCUAGCAAAUGUAUAAGAUAAUAGUUAGGGAACAGUACUCAGCAAAAAUAAAAAAUGUAUGGAGAGGGACUGAGGGGAGUGAGGAACUCUUUGAGGAGGUGCCACUCUGAGACCCAAAUGACAAGAAGGAAUUAACCACAUGACAUUCUAGAAAGAGGGAAAAGAGUUGCUGUUAAGAAGAUGUGGGUGUGUUAAAAAAAAAUUGCAAAGUCCCUUAGGUACGAUUGAGCUGCUAAUGAUCAAUCUGAGGCUUCUGCUCUGUGUCUUAUAGGUAAACGGGGUAAGGUUUGGUAGGACUGAAAAAUUCAUCCAGCCACCUAUCUAGGGGGUGUGAGGGUCAAGAUGUGGACCCAGGUCUUCUGCCCUUAAGAGCAGAGUGCUUGUCACUACAGCACAAAGAAGGUGCAAGAGAAAGGAAAAGUGAGUGGGAGGCGGUGAGGGAGGAACAGACUGCCUUGUCCUCCACCAGAUCUAAAUCUGUCUCCUCCUGAUGGUUGGCAGGAUUACAGGAUCUGACUCCCAUUUGGGCCUUCCACCUCCGCUGGCCUAAGCAGUCAAGUGUCAGAGAGCACUGGACCUAACAGCUCCCUCACCAGAGCAGCUGUGAUUCCUUCUUCAUUUCCAGCAGGGAAGACCCAACAACUUUUAUAAUAUGGGAUUUCUUUUAUUCUCAUGAUAAUAAUGUUCAUUGUGGAAAAUAAAAAAAAAUGAUAAAAUAAAAAUCAGCCAGAAUUCCAACUUCUGGAGAUUUUGGUGUCUUUCUGCAAAGUUCCUAUGCACAUAGAUACUUUAUAAAAUUAUGAACAUACUGUACAUACAGUUUUGGAAUAUGCCUUUUUCCUUCUGUCAUGAAAAAGUCUUCAAAUGCCUUUUAACAGCUACACAAUAGUUCACUACAUGAACCAACUCAAAUGUAACUAUUUUUGGCCUUUUGUUAUAAAUAACACAAGAACCCUCAGUCUUUGUUACAUAAUGUCCUAACAGAGUAGGGGAAAUGCUCCCCAAUCCGGUGCAAUGUCCUGUGCCCAGGGAAACCAAUU